rnacentral:ncRNA from 1 species
UGGAAGUUAAAUUCUAGUUUAAUAAUUUAAAUUUAAAAUUAUACUACAUGCAAUUUUUUAAUUGUUAUCAUUUUCUAAAUGAAGUAUUUUAAUAAAGCGCAGUAUUUAUUAUUGUUAAUUAAUAAUAUUAGAAUCAGUAAUUUUAUUUAAAAGAAUCAAAUUUCGUGCCAGCAGUUGCGGUUAUACGAUUUCUUUAAUUUAAAUAGUUAAGUUUCAGUUAAUACAUUAAUAAUAUAAAAUAGCUAUAAUUUUGGUGAAAUAUAUUUUAUCUUAAAAAAUUAUUUUUAUGUCUGAAAAAUUUUUUUAUAAAACUAGGAUUAGAUACCCUAUUAUCAAAAAUGUGACAAAAUUAACUUGAUUAUUGUUAGAAAUGAUCUUUAAAUUCAAAGAAUUUGGCGGUAAUUUAUCUUAUCAGAGGAACCUGUUUUAUAAUUGAUAAUCCACGAUAGAAAAAACUUUAAUUUAACUUGUAUAUCUCUGUCAAGAAUGUUUUAUAAGAAAAAUUUUCAUAUUAUAUAGUAAUAUAUAUUCAAUGUCAGGUCAAGGUGCAGUUUAUAUUAAAGAAAAAAUGGGUUACAAUUAAUUAUUUAAUGGAUUAUUUUUUUAUAAAAAAAUAAGAAAUUGGAUUUGACAAUAAAUUAAUUAAAUUUAAUUAAUUGAAAUUAGCUCUAAAUUAUGUACAUAUCGCCCGUCACUCUCAUAAUUUUAUUGAGAUAAGUCGUAACAAAGUAACUGUACCGGAAGGUGUAGUUAGAAAGA